CAGAGAAACAACAGCUGCAGCCGACGGCCUGAGUCUGGUAUUCUGCAACUGAAGCACAUUUCAUUAACAGAAUGAAGAUCCUGGCCCUGCUUUGGCUUUUUGGGAUCUGCCUUGCUGAUGUAUGCGAAAGGCCUUCCAAUGGCACCAAUAUUGCUAGACAAGGCAUUGCAGAGCAGUCUACUAGUAGUUUACACAAUGGAGCUGCAAACCUGGCAAUAGAUGGGAAAACAAACGGCAUUUAUUUUAAAGGAACCUGCACCCAUACUCAAAGUGACUCUCCAUCCUGGUGGAAAGUGAAUCUGAAGGCCACCUACGCCAUCUCUGUGGUGGUGGUCUACAAUAGACAGGACUGCUGUGACUCGAGGUUGAAGGGGGCUGAAGUUCGUGUCGGAGACUCACCCGAUAUCUCAAAGCA